AAUGGCAGAGUUGGAGUUAGCCAAGGGCUAUUUCUUUAUAAUCACCGUGUGUGGUCGUUGUCUAUUUCCCAUCUACUAUUUAAACCCUGGAAGGUGUAUUAUUACAAAGGCUGGCUGGGCAAGGGCUUGGACAAUUCUGAACUGUUACAAACUUCUCUCCAAACGAACAGGUAUCAUUGUUGAAAACACUGGGUAUCCACUGCAUAUAGAAUACUAUGUUCAUUGAAAGGAGUGGAGUCCUGACAAUUCCCAGACCCUCUCAUAUUAUCUCUCAAGGAAUCUAGCUUAAAGGAUCCGCCCAAUGUAGAUGAAGAACAGAAAGCCACACAGCAAGCCCGGAGAUACUUAUAGGCUAUCUUAAAGUCUUCACACCGAAGCCAGAUGUCAGGAGGGCUACAAAGAAGAUUCCUACCCUGAGAGGCCAAAUUUGAACAUUCAUUCAUUCAUUCAUUCAAACAUUUAUUGGCCACCUAUUAUGUGCACUCUGCUAGGUGCUGGGGACAUUUCUGAGGACAAAGCAGAUCAAAAUCCCUAAUCUCCUGGAGCUGACAUGGCUGGGAGGUGGGAGGAGUGGGAAGUCAGGCACUGUGUGACCUGGCAGGCCUCCUAUAAUUCCAGGACUGUAGAAUGUGUGGAACUUUAUGGAACUUCAUGACUCACUUCCACCUGUAUCAUUUCAGGUAAUCCUCACUACAACCCUUGAAGUUGUUAGGGCAGGCCAGGCCAGUGCCUACACCUAAUAAAUGUGUACUCAAAAAAGCAAUAAAUUUAUUCCA